rnacentral:tRNA from 6 species
GCCGCUAUAGCUCAGUGGUAGAGCACGUCAUUGGUAAUGACGGGGUCGUAAGUCCGAUUCUUACUAGCGGCACCA